rnacentral:rRNA from 1 species
GACGAACGCUGGCGGCGUGCUUAACACAUGCAAGUCGAACGGAAAGGCCUCUUUCGGGGGGUACUCGAGUGGCGAACGGGUGAGUAACACGUGAGUAACCUGCCCUUGACUUUGGGAUAACUUCAGGAAACUGGGGCUAAUACCGGAUAGGAGCUCCUGCUGCAUGGUGGGGGUUGGAAAGUUUCGGCGGUGGGGGAUGGAUUCGCGGCUUAUCAGCGUGGUGGUGGGGUAGUGGCUUACCAAGGCUGUGACGGGUAGCCGGCCUGAGAGGGUGACCGGCCACAUUGGGACUGAGAUGCGGCCCAGACUCCUACGGGAGGCAGCAGUGGGGAAUAUUGCACAAUGGGUGGAAGCCUGAUGCAGCAACGCCGUGUGCGGGAUGACGGCCUUCGGGUUGUAAACCGCUUUCGCUCAUGACGAAGCUUUGUGUGACGGUAGUGGGUAAAGAAGCACCGGCUAACUACGUG